GGGGGUGCAGAGCUAGCCUCAUGGCAGGGGGUGCAGAGCUAGCCUCAUGGCAGGGGGUGCAGAGCUAGCCUCAUGGCAGGUGGUGCAGAGCUAGCCUCAUGGCAGGGGGUGCAGCGCUAGCCUCAUGGCAGGUGGUGCAGAGCUAGCCUCAUGGCAGGGGGUGCAGAGCUAGCCUCAUGGCAGGGGGUGCAGAGCUAGCCUCAUGGCAGGUGGUGCAGCGCUAUGGCAGGUGGUGCAGAGCUAGCCUCAUGGCAGGUUUUGCAGAGCUAGCCUAAUGGCAGGUGGUGUAGAGCAAGCCUCAUGGCAGGGGGUGCAGAGCAAGCCUCAUGGCAGGUGGUACAAAGCUAGCCUCAUGGCAGGUGGUGCAGAGCUAUCCUCAUGGCAGGUGGUGUAGAGCUAGCCUCAUGGCAGGUGGUGUAGAGCUAGCCUCAUGGCAGGUGGUGCAGAGCUAGCCUCAUGGCAGGUGGUGUAGAGCUAGCCUCAUGGCAGGGGGUGCAGAGCUAGCCUCAUGGCAGGUGGUGCAGAGCUAGCCUCAUGGCAGG